rnacentral:rRNA from 1 species
UACAGAGGGUGCAAGCGUUGUUCGGAUUUACUGGGCGUAAAGAGCGCGCAGGCGGUCGUUCAAGUCGAGUGUGAAAGCCCCCGGCUCAACUGGGGAGGGUCACUCGAUACUGAUCGACUCGAAGGCAGGAGAGGGAAGUGGAAUUCCCGGUGUAGUGGUGAAAUGCGUAGAUAUCGGGAGGAACACCAGUGGCGAAGGCGACUUCCUGGCCUGUUCUUGACGCUGAGGCGCGAAAGCUAGGGGAGCAAACGGG